CCCUCCCACUCGCUCCUCCCCCUCUCCACCUCGCUCGCUCCGCCUGCCUCACCUCGCCGAGUGCAGUCAGGGCCUCGCCGCCGUAGGAGCCGCCGCCAUCGUCCUCCGCACGCCUCGAGACCCUGCUCAGAAGACGCGCCGCCGUCCGCUACUUCCUCUACGCCCAGGAACGCGAGCUGGGGAGCCCUCCGUCGCUAGAUCGCCUUCAACUUCCUCCCCGACACCGACAAACUCCGUCGCCCCGAUUCGCCGCCCUCCUGCGCUCCUAAGCCCAUCGCCGGCCACCGUGUGCCUCACUGUGAGCCCCGCACCUUUUUCCCCCUCUCCUCGUUGCCCCGUGCGCUAUAGCCACUUCCCCUGCUCGAGGCCGACGCCGCUGUCCGCCAUGGCGGACGAGCACGUCGCUGCUGUGCCACUUAGCCUCGUCUGUGGAUGCGUGUGUGCUCUAGGAGCUGCGUAGAUGCCGCCUACCACCUCCGUUUGGUCGAUCCGUGGACAUUUUUCUCAGGCUCGUCAUGUCCAAGCCGCCACCAUCGCGAGCGUUCGCCACUGCCAUUGACCCUGUGCAUCCCCGUGCCCCCAGUCACCUUAGAUCGAUGCGCGGCUUCGUCCGCAUCCCUCGCCACGCCCCUGCUCGUGUCGCCGAGCCCCUGCCUGUGCGCCCUCGCGUCCACGGCCGCGUCCGGCUGUGCGCUACCAUGCCUCCGCGUGCACCGGCCUGCGCGUGGCCUCACCCACCUGCUCCUGGACGCGCCCCUGCGCCUUCCCACGCUCGCGCGUCCGCCCGCUACCUGUACCUGCUACUCUUGUGCUACUGCCGCUGGCUAUUGCUACCUUGCUGCUGCUACUCUGCUUCCUUCGUUGGUGCUUGCUGUCGCUGCUGCUCCUAGAUGCUGUUGCUUCCUCCUGCUGCCGCUACUAGCUGAUGCUCCAAGCCGCUAGCUGCUGCUACUAAUGGCCUUGGCUGAGGCCAUGGCCGAGCACAAGCUUUGUGCUUUGUGCGUGCACAGCCACCGCUGGCCGGCCCUUGCAAAUUAGCUUUGGGGGGUAAUCACUAGUUAGUUUAACUACUAGCCAAUGACAGUAGCCCCCACUAUUAGUUAAUAUAAUUUAAUCAAAGUCUAAAUGACCAUAGUCAAUGACACGUGGAACCCGCUUACACUAUUCACUCUUUGACUAUUCAACCUUUGACUGGGUCAACCCAACCCCAUGGCCCCACUGUCAUACUCAUAGGCUGGAGUAACACUAGGUGACAAAAGUAUUUUGCUGUUUUAAUUUCGAAUUAAAAUAAAAAUCCUGAAAAUUCAGAAAAUCUUUUAAACUUCGAAUAAUCAUAUAAAAUAAACCGUAGCUCGGAUGAAAAUACUUUAUACAUGAAAGUUGCUCAGAACGGCGAGACGAACCCAGAAACGCAGCCCGUUCAUCCGCCACACCUCCCUAACCCAUCGAACUCGCAACUUUCCACCUCCGGUUCAUCUGUCCGGAAAUGCGAAACACCGGGGAUACUUUCCCGGAUGUUUUCCCCCUUCGCCGGUAUCACCUACUACCUCGUUAGGGCACACCUAGCACUGCGUAUUGCUAUGUUAUGCUUUGUGAUGCUUUGAUUGCUCUGUUAUUUAUUAUGUUCCCCUUCCGUUACUUCUUUCCGGUAGACCUCGAGACUGCUGGCGACCCCCAGUUCGACUACGGAGUUGAUGACCCCUC
rnacentral:lncRNA from 1 species